GACGAACGCUGGCGGCGUGCCUAAUACAUGCAAGUAGAACGCACAGUUUAUACCGUAGCUUGCUACACCAUAGACUGUGAGUUGCGAACGGGUGAGUAACGCGUAGGUAACCUGCCUGGUAGCGGGGGAUAACUAUUGGAAACGAUAGCUAAUACCGCAUAAUAUUAAUUAUUGCAUGAUAAUUAAUUGAAAGGUGCAAUUGCACCACUACCAGAUGGACCUGCGUUGUAUUAGCUAGUAGGUGAGGUAACGGCUCACCUAGGCGACGAUACAUAGCCGACCUGAGAGGGUGAUCGGCCACACUGGGACUGAGACACGGCCCAGACUCCUACGGGAGGCAGCAGUAGGGAAUCUUCGGCAAUGGACGAAAGUCUGACCGAGCAACGCCGCGUGAGUGAAGAAGGUUUUCGGAUCGUAAAGCUCUGUUGUAAGAGAAGAACGGGUGUGAGAGUGGAAAGUUCACACUGUGACGGUAUCUUACCAGAAAAGGACGGCUAACUACGUG
rnacentral:rRNA from 1 species